UCUAAUAUGCGAUGGAUUUAAAUCCCGUAUAUAAAGAUGAUACUUUCAUUAGAA
rnacentral:tRNA from 1 species